ACCCGCACAAGCGGUGGAUCAUGUUGUUUAAUUCGAUGAUACGCGAAGACCUUACCAGGUCUUGACAUCCCCUGCAAAGCUAUGGAGACAUAGUGGAGGUUAUCAGGGAGACAGGUGGUGCAUGGUUGUCGUCAGCUCGUGUCGUGAGAUGUUGGGUUAAGUCCCGCAACGAGCGCAACCCUUAUUGCUAGUUACCAUCAUUGAGUUGGGGACUCUAGCGAGACUGCCAGUGAUAAACUGGAGGAAGGUGGGGAUGACGUCAAAUCAUCAUGCCCCUUAUGACCUGGGCUACAAACGUGAUACAAUGGCUGAAACAAAGGGCAGCGAAGCAGUGACUGUGGAACGAACCCAAAAAGCAGUCUCAGUUCGGAUUGAAGUCUGCAACUCGACUUCAUGAAGUCGGAAUCGCUAGUAAUCGCGGAUCAGAACGCCGCGGUGAAUACGUUCUCGGGGUUU
rnacentral:rRNA from 1 species